ACACAUGCAAGUCCAACGGUAAGGCGCGUUUCGGGCGUACACGAGCGGCGAAACGGGUUGAGUCACACGCGAGGAAACGCGCCCUUCGACUUUCGGUAUAGCACUUCGGAAACAGGUCGGUAAUCCCGAAAUAUUCAGUUUCCCGGGCAUCCGGGUUCGUUGGAAAGCUUUUUGCGGUCAGGGAUCGUCUCGCGGCCUAUCAGCUUGUUGGUGGGGUAGUGGCCCACCAAGGCCUUGACGGGUAGCCGGCCUGAGAGGGCGACCGGCCACAUUGGGACUGAGAUACGGCCCAGACUCCUACGGGAGGCAGCAGUGGGGAAUAUUGCACAAUGGGCGGAAGCCUGAUGCAGCAACGCCGCGUGCGGGAUGACGGCCUUCGGGUUGUAAACCGCUUUCACCCAUGACGAAGCGCGAGUGACGGUAGUGGGGGAAGAAGCACCGGCCAACUACGUGCCAGCAGCCGCGGUGAUACGUAGGGUGCGAGCGUUGUCCGGAAUUAUUGGGCGUAAAGAGCUUGUAGGCGGUUGAUUCGCGUCGAUAGUGAAAUCCCGGGGCUCAACCUCGGGCUUGCUGUCGAUACGGGUUGACUUGAGGAAGGUAGGGGAGAAUGGAACUCCCGGUGGAGCGGUGGAAUGCGCAGAUAUCGGGAAGAACACCGGUGGCGAAGGCGGUUCUCUGGACCUUUCCUGACGCUGAGAAGCGAAAGCGUGGGGAGCAAACAGGCUUAGAUACCCUGGUAGUCCACGCUGUAAACGGUGGGUACUAGGUGUGGGUCGCAUUCCACGUGAUCCGUGCCGUAGCCAACGCAUUAAGUACCCCGCCUGGGGAGUACGGCCGCAAGGCUAAAACUCAAAGGAAUUGACGGGGCCCCGCACAAGCGGCGGAGCAUGCGGAUUAAUUCGAUGCAACGCGAAGAACCUUACCUGGGUUUGACAUGUACUGGAAGCGCUCAGAGAUGGGCGUGCCUUUUCGGCCGGUUCACAGGUGGUGCAUGGCUGUCGUCAGCUCGUGUCGUGAGAUGUUGGGUUAAGUCCCGCAACGAGCGCAACCCUCGUCCAAUGUUGCCAGCAGUUCGGCUGGGGACUCGUUGGAGACCGCCGGGGUCAACUCGGAGGAAGGUGGGGAUGAGGUCAAGUCAUCAUGCCCCUCAUGUCCAGGGCUUCACGCAUGCUACAACGGCCGGUACAAAGAGUUGCGAGCCUGUGAGGGUGAGCGAAUCUCGGAAAGCCGGUCUCAGUUCGGAUUGGGGUCUGCAACUCGACCCCAUGAAGUCGGAGUCGCUAGUAAUCGCAGAUCAGCAACGCUGCGGUGAAUACGUUCCCGGGGCUUGUACACACCGCCCGUC
rnacentral:rRNA from 1 species